CCCCUUUCAGGGUUGCACCUGGAGAGUUUCCAGUAAGUACUCUACUAGUCUUGGCUAUGGGAGGGAGAGUCAAGCAGAGGCCUAUCCAUUCCAUUCCUAGCUUGGGCAGUGGCUAGCUAUUGGAAAGCAAUCUGCUACAAGU